CGCAGCCGCGGUAAUUCCAGCUCCAAUAGCGUAUAUUAAAGUUGUUGCAGUUAAAAAGUUCGUAGUUGAAUUUCGGGAUCAGUUCGUCGGUCGUGCCUUUGGUAUGUACUGGUGUUACUGGUUCCUCCCUUCUGACGAACCGUCAUGUCAUUAAUUUGGUGUGGCGGGAAAUCAGGACUGUUACUUUGAAAAAAUUAGAGUGUUUAAAGCAGGCUCGCGCUUGAAUACAUUAGCAUGGAAUAAUGAAAUAGGACGUUCGAUCCUAUUUUGUUGGUUUCUAGGAUUGACGUAAUGAUUAAUAGGGAUAGUUGGGGGCAUUAGUAUUCAAUUGUCAGAGGUGAAAUUCUUGGAUUUAUUGAAGACUAACUACUGCGAAAGCAUUUGCCAAGGAUGUUUUCAUUAAUCAAGAACGAAAGUUAGGGGAUCGAAGACGAUCAGAUACCGUCGUAGUCUUAACCAUAAACUAUGCCGACUAGGGAUCGGAUGAUGUUAAUUUUUUAAUGACUCAUUCGGCGCCUUA
rnacentral:rRNA from 1 species